rnacentral:tRNA from 1 species
GGCCCCGUGGCGGAAUGGUAGACGCAACGGACUUAAAAUCCGUAGCUCGGAAACGGGCGUGCCGGUUCAAGUCCGGCCGGGGCCACCA